GACGAACGCUGGCGGCGUGCUUAACACAUGCAAGUCGAACGGAAAGGCCCUGCUUUUGUGGGGUGCUCGAGUGGCGAACGGGUGAGUAACACGUGAGUAACCUGCCCUUGACUUUGGGAUAACUUCAGGAAACUGGGGCUAAUACCGGAUAGGAUCUCCUGCUGCAUGGUGGGGGUGGGAAAGUUUCGGCUGUUGGGGAUGGACUCGCGGCUUAUCAGCUUGUUGGUGGGGUAGGGGUUUGCCAAGGCUUUGACGGGUAGCCGGCCUGAGAGGGUGACCGGCCACAUGAGGCCUGAGAUACGGCACAGACUCAUACGGGAGGCAGCAGUGGGGAAUCUUGCACAGUGGGCGGAAGCCUGAUGCAGCAACGCCGCGUGCGGGAUGACGGCCUUCGGGUAGUAAACCGCUUUCGCCUGUGACGAAGCGUGAGUGACGGUAAUGGGUAAAGAAGCACCGGCUAACUACGUG
rnacentral:rRNA from 1 species